rnacentral:rRNA from 1 species
GAUGAACGCUGGCGGCGUGCCUAAUACAUGCAAGUCGAGCGAACAGACGAGGAGCUUGCUCCUCUGACGUUAGCGGCGGACGGGUGAGUAACACGUGGAUAACCUACCUAUCAGACUGGGAUAACUUCGGUAAACCGGAGCUAAUACCGGAUAAUAUAUUGAACCGCAUGUUUCAAUAGUGAAAGACGGUUUUGCUGUCACUUAUAGAUGGAUUCGCGCCUCAUUAGCUAGUUGGUCAGGUAACGGCAUACCAAGGCAACGAUGCGUAGCCGACCUGAGAGGGUGAACGAGCACACGGGAACAGAGACACGGCACAGACUCCGACGGUGGGCAGCAGUAGGGAAUCUUCCGCGAGGGGCGAAAGCCUAACGGAGCAACGCCGCGGGAGUGAUGAAGGUCUUCGGAUCGGAAAGCGCAGUUAUUAGGGAAGAACAAAUGUGUAAGUAACGAGGAACGUCUUGACGGUACCUAAAUAGAAAGCCACGGCUAACUACGUG